UUCUUAGACUAGCAUGCAUGCCUUCGAAUACGAGGAAGCAAUUCUCUCUGAAUCUGCGAACGGCUCCGCAAACCAGUUGUAAACUAUGGCAAGCCCGCUCGUGGCCGUCGCAAGACGGCUGCUGGCUACACGGAUAACCCUGGUAAUUCUGAGGCUAAUACGAGAACGUAACCCCCAGCCAACCCGCGAGGGAAAGCUGGGGGACGUGCGAGUAGGACACGAGGGAAUACCAAGAAAGGGCGCACGUCUUGACCGCGCUACAAAGGAUCAGGUGGACGCUUGCUUGCAAGCCGAAGCUUGGCCCCAGCGGCUCUUGCAGUGUGCUUCUGACCUAUCAACUAGACGGCAGCGUAACGGACAUGCCAUGGUUACAACGGGUACAGAGGUUUUAGGGUUCGA
rnacentral:rRNA from 1 species